GUUUCUGAGCCGCAGCUGGAACUGCACCAGCCAGAGGGCAAACGUCCCUCGGAUCAGCGUCUUUGGGAAAUGGAGGACAGCAGGGAAAGCACCUUGUACGGCUCGUGGUUCUCUGAGAACAGACGCCCAGGGGACAACUGAUCCACCAUGUGGGUCUGUGUUCCCAAGGAUGAGGAUGAUUGUUAUAAUGGCGGCGGUGCUGAUGUGAGGAAGAUGGUGAAGACUGGGAUAUGAUCCAGAUGAUGAUGAUGGUGGUGAUGAUGGUGGUGAUGGUGUUGGUGGUGGUGAUGGUGGUGGUCGUCAUGAUGGUGGUGAUGGUGGUGAUGAUGGUGAUGGUGAUGCUGGUGAUGGUGGUGAUGAUGAUGUUGGUGGUGAUGGUGGUGGUGGUGAUGAUGGUGNGGAUAUGAUCCAGAUGAUGAUGAUGGUGGUGAUGAUGGUGGUGAUGGUGUUGGUGGUGGUGAUGGUGGUGGUCAUCAUGAUGGUGGUGAUGAUGGUGGUGAUGGUGGUGAUGAUGGUGAUGGUGAUGCUGGUGAUGGUGGUGAUGAUGAUGUUGGUGGUGAUGGUGGUGGUGGUGAUGAUGGUGGUGAUAACGGUGGUGAUGAUGAUGGUGGUGACAGUGAUGGUGGCACUGAUGGUGAUGAGGAGGAUACUGAUGAGGAAGAUGGUGAAGGCCACGAUAUGAUCCAGAUGAUGAUGGUGGUGGUGGUGAUGAUGAUAAUGGUAAUAGUGAUGGUGGUGUUGGUGAUGGUGGUGAUGGAGGUGGUGAUGAUGGUGAUGGAGGUGAUAUUGAUGGUGAUGGUGGUGAUGAUGAUGGUGAUGGUAGUGAUGGAGAUGAUUAUGGUGAUGGUGAUGGUGAUGGUGGUGAUGGUGGUAAUGGUGAUGGUGGUGAUAACAGUGGUGAUGAUAAUGGUGAUGAUGAUGGUGGUGAUGUGGUGGUGAUGAUGGUGGAGGUGUUGGCGAUAGUGGUGAUGGUGAUGGUGAUGGUGAUGGUGGUGAUGAUGAUGAUGGUGAUGGUGGUGGUGGUACUGAUGAUGAGGAGGAGGAUACUGAUGAGGAAGAUGGAAAUGGUGGAGGUCAAGAUAGUCAUAGUGAAGGUGACGGUGCUGAUGAUGGACAGGUGGUGGCGUGAUGAUGGUGGUGGGGAGGGCGAUGGUGAUGGUGUGCUCCGAGUCUCGUCCUGGUCCUGGUGCUGACGGUUUAACCAGGAAGAGUUCUAUCUAGAUGCUGUGGGAUGACGUCCGCAGGUGUGGAACUCUCCCCAGGAACAGAACGCCCUGCCUUCUUGAGAGGAUAUAUAUUUUUUUUCCCUGAGAAACGAUAUCCUGAAUAGAAACGAGAGCGCUUCUUCUUCUCCUUUCCAUGUUCCAAGAAGGGUGUCGAAUAAUUUUGAUCUUUCCAGAAACGACCGUCCUGGGGGAUUCAAAGCGAUUCGGGGAACAGGCGGGAUGGCUGUCACGGGUUUCCUCUGAAAAGCGCUCAGUUGGGGCUGGGAUUCGGGGACUCCGUGCGCGGGAACAUCUGCUGCUGAGGUGUGGGGUUUGCAAAUUCUGGGAAUCUGAGUCACGAGGAGCCGAAGGUGGGAGGUGCUGUUGGACCUGCAGACUCUUAUCUCUUGUUCUGAAAGAUUGCUGCAAAUUCAGACUCUAACAACUGAGCCACAGAAACGGCUCCUCCCGAUCCUUUACGGUACUGAUGAGGGAGCCCACAGGAGCCCACGGGAGACAUGGGGAGAGAGCGGUCCCGCCGUGCCGAGUCCUCUUUCUUGCAGACACAACUUCCUCUUUACCUGGUCCAAUAGCCGCGGCUUCUUGCCUUGCCUCCUCUCCACCGGGUGGUUUUUUAACACGGAUUCUUAGCCCGGAACCACAGGCAUCAAAACAGACUGGACUCCGUGGUUCUAAGGGAAGCCGCUUGCUGCAGACCCGAGCUGGGACCUCCGUUCUCCACGAACCCCUCGUGCACGGAGAAAUCUUCCGAUUCCUUUCCCAGGCAUCACCAUGGAGGCCGCAUCAGGAUGGGAUAACCAGGGGGGUCACGACCCUAGAAUUCCCAGGGAGGCUCUAAGCCCGUCCCAUAAGAUGACCUAGUGAUUGCACGGGACCCGUGUGCACCGUCCUACGUACUUUAGACCAGUUGUGCGUGACUUAAUACCCCGCGCAACGCAGAUGCUCGUCCCCCCCAUCAUUACGGGAUCACGACCGGAAAAUACGUCUGCACGGGAUGCAAUCUGGGCACAGAGGACGCACAGCAGGGACCACUGUAUACAGACCCCCUCUGACUCCUGGGCACAGAGCACGCACAGCAGGGACGACUGUAUACAGACCCCUUCUGACUCCUGGGCACACACCACGCACAGCAGGGACGACUGUAUACAGAGCCCCUCUGACCCCUGGGCACAGAGCACGCACAGCAGGGACGACUGUAUACAGAUCCCUCUGACUCCUGGGCACAGAGCACGCACAGUAGGGAUGACUGUAUACAGACCCCCUGUGACUCCUGGGCUCAGAGCAAGCACAGUAGGGACGACUGUAUACAGACCCCUUCUGACUCCUGGGCACAGAGCACGCACAGCAGGGACGACUGUAUACAGAUCCGCUCUGACUCCUGGGCACAGAGCACGCACAGCAGGGACGACUGUAUACAGACCCCCUCUGACUCCUGGGCACAGACCACGCACAGCAGGGACAACCGUAUACACACCCGCAUCUGACUCCUGGGCACAGACCAGGUACAGCAGGGACGACUGUAUACAGACCCUCUCUGACUCCUGGGCACAGACCAGGCACAGCAGGGACGACUGUAUACACACUCGGCCUCUGACUCCUGGGCACAGAGCACGCACAGCAGGGACCACUGUAUAAACACUCAGCCUCUGACUCCUGGGUACACAGCACGCACAGCAGGGACGACUGUAUACAGACCCGCCUCUGCCUCCUGGGCUCAGAGCACGCACAGCAGGGACGACUGUAUACAGACCCCCUCUGACUCCUGGGCACAGAGCACGCACAGCAGGGACGACUGUAUACAGACCCCCUCUGACUCCUGGGCACACACCACACACA
rnacentral:lncRNA from 1 species